GAUGAACGCUGGCGGUAUGCUUAACACAUGCAAGUCGAACGGGUGUCCUUCGGGACAUUAGUGGCGGACGGGUGAGUAACGCGUGAGAAUCUGCCUUCAGGAUGGGGACAACAAUUGGAAACGAUUGCUAAUACCCGAUAUGACGAAAGUUGAAAGAUUUAUCGCCUGGAGAUGAGCUCGCGUCAGAUUAGCUAGAUGGUGUGGUAACGGCGCACCAUGGCGACGAUCUGUAGCUGGUCUGAGAGGAUGAGCAGCCACACUGGGACUGAGACACGGCCCAGACUCCUACGGGAGGCAGCAGUGGGGAAUUUUCCGCAAUGGGCGCAAGCCUGACGGAGCAAUACCGCGUGAGGGAGGAAGGCUCUUGGGUCGUAAACCUCUUUUCUCAGGGAAGAACACAAUGACGGUACCUGAGGAAUCAGCAUCGGCUAACUCCGUGCCAGCAGCCGCGGUAAUACGGAGGAUGCAAGCGUUAUCCGGAAUGAUUGGGCGUAAAGCGUCCGUAGGUGGUUCUGUAAGUCUGUGGUUAAAGCGCGGGGCUCAACCCCAUAACGGCCAUGGAAACUACAAGACUUGAGUGAAGUAGGGGUAGAGGGAAUUCCCAGUGUAGCGGUGAAAUGCGUAGAGAUUGGGAAGAACACCGGUGGCGAAAGCGCUCUACUGGACUUAAACUGACACUGAGGGACGAAAGCUAGGGGAGCGAAAGGGAUUAGAUACCCCUGUAGUCCUAGCCGUAAACGAUGGAUACUAGGUGUUGCCCG
rnacentral:rRNA from 1 species